AAAAUAUUUCCCUUAUGGUUCUGAGCUUUCUGUUUGCAGGUACAUUUAGGCUUAUUUUGGGUUUAUGGCUUUUGAAGGUCCCCAGAUUCCAGUGUGCAUAUGGAAAAGCGUAUUUUUUCUCCUCCGUUCCAAGUGGUGGAACCGGACCCAGAGCAAGAGCAACCGGGUGAGGAACCUGCAGCUGCCGUGGCCUCGCGGGACGGUCAUUAUUCUUGCUUAAAGAAUAAUUAAAAGAAAUGUGAAGCAUCUUCACAGUAAUUGUACAAAACCAUCUCCGGUGGCUGCAGAACGCGGCACAGAACGCAGCACGGGGCGUAUCGGCGGCUGAGCCGUCCCAGGAGAAACGCCGUGUUCUGGAGAGAUCGAAGUAAAAACAGGUA